rnacentral:rRNA from 1 species
GAUGAACGCUGGCGGCGUGCUUAACACAUGCAAGUCGAACGAAGUGGCGAACGGGUGAGUAACGCGUAAUCAACCUGCCCUUCAGAGGGGGACAACAGUUGGAAACGACUGCUAAUACCGCAUACUGAAGGAGGGGAUUGCGUCUGAUGAGCUAGUGGGAGGGGUAACGGCCUACCAAAGCGAAGCGCCGUAGCCGGGCUGGGAGGAUGAACGGCCACAUUGGGACUGGGGCCAGGGCCCAGAUCCUUACGGAGGGAGCAGUGGGGAAUCUUCCGCCAUGGACGAAAGUCCUGCGGAGCAAAGCCGCGGGAGUGAUGACGGCCUUCGGGUUGUAAAGCUCUGUUAAUCGGGACGCGGUACCUGAAUAGAAAGCCACGGCUAACUACGUGCCAGCAGCCGCGGUAAUUC